GACAGAGUGAGACUCUGUCUCUAAAAAGAAAAUAAAUUAAAAAAAAAAAAAAAGAGUAGGACAGACAGCAGGGAGAAAGCAAGCAGGAGCCCAUCCCAGGAACCAGGGCCAGGAUGUGUAGGAAAGCGGAGGUCUAAGCUCUGGGUCGAGUUGGCAGCAACAUAGUCUCUACAUGAGGACACAAGAGAGCACCCUGACCUGGGAAACUGAGGCGAGAAACGUGAUGUGGGAAAGGGUGGGAGCCAACGAAAUGUCACCACGGAGGAAGAGCUACCGUCAAGCUAAAGAAGCUUCAGCUGCAGGGCAACGUGUGCAUACGCUUCAGCAAAAUUCUCAAAAUGAAGACAGCUGUGCAGACUGAGGGGCCUUCAGUGAAACGGAUGCAGGAAGUCCAUCGAUCACCAGCCGGUCACACUCACAAAAAGGGGCAGCCUGCACCCAAGACUGGCCAACGUCAACCUGCGAAGACCUGGCCCCUUGUUUUGAUUCCAAACCUCUCCAAAGGGCCCUCUCCCAGCUCCGGCAUUCUUUGAAGUCAACUUCUCCUGCAGACCAAUUCUACUUCUCUUGCUUCUUUGCAAGUUGUGGUUGUGAGAGCACUCCCCAGUACGACUCUUGCUCCCGUGGAUCUUAACUGUCUCAGAUGAGAUGGAAGUGGGCCAUCCAGGUAGGCAUGAACCAGGUGAGUCACCUGCCAGGUGAGUUACCCCGACCUGCAGACAUGUUGUUUGGGAGAGUAAGGACCCUAGACUGGAGGAAGGUGAUGAGGAUCAGUUGCGGCUUUGAGUCCAGUUGUAGGUGCAGGGCUGUGGUUUGCCCCACUUGCUGCCUUUUUGUGUUUCCCUGGAAAAGGAGACCAUUCAGAAUCCCAUGGGAGCUUUCUCAGAUGGGGCAAACUUACUCUACAAGUGAUGGCCAGAGAGCAUCAGAAAGCUGCAUGUGUUGAUGGCCCAGACCUCCCCUAAGCAUGGCACUGUUUUUGUGCCAUUGCCUCUCCCUGAGCUCACAGCUGUGGCUGCAUGGGGUUGGGUUGUUCCCAAGAUGCAACAGUUGAUGGAGGAGGAAAAAGACCAAGUGCUUCACAGAUGGGUCAGCAUGGCGUGUGGUACAGGUCACAAAUACAUUGCAUUUCAUCACAGCCCUGCUUAGGGGUGGCCUUGGACAACUGUGGCAGGGGAAAUGCUUUGGGCAGUGCAUCUGGGCAUAGAGAAAGAAACGACAUCCUUAAAAUAAGAAUAUAUGCAGAUGAGUGGGCAGAAGGAGGUAGCUGGUUUCUCAGCAUCUUGGAAGGAGAAAGACUGGGAACAAAGAGGACUGGGAAGAAGGCAGGUGCUUGGACCCACUGGAGUGGGUAUGAAGUGUGAAGAUCUCAGUGUCACACGUUAACACACACCUGAGAGCAUCUGCCAGGAAAGGGGCACCAAGCAGACGUAACGACUUGGCCAGUUGUCAUUAGCCAGCCUCUGCAUGCACCUUCACAGGGGCACAUGAACAGCAUGGCCCCGGUGGCCAAGAUGCAUGGGGCCAAUCGUAUGCAUGUCCAUUCACCAAGGCUGAUCUAGCUACUGCCCCCGCCAGGUGUCCAACCUGCCAGCAGGAGACCAGCACUGAGCCCCCAGGACAGCAGCUGCCCUGGACUAGACCAGCCUGCCACUUGGUAGGAAAUGGCCAGUGAUUCAUCCUGACUAGAAUAGACACAUAAACUGUGGGUUAUGGACUUGCCUUUCCUGCCUGUAGUGCUAAAGCCAGCACGAUGCUCUGAUUGCUUACAGAAUGUUCACCCACCUGCACGGGAUCCUGCAAAACAUCACAUUCGACCAGGGGACCUCCUUUCCCACAGAGGAGGUGUGACAGUGGGGAUAUGAGCGUGGAACCCACUGGCCCUGUCAUGUGUCCACCACCCAGAAGCUAGUGGCCUUGCAGUGAUGGAGGUACAAGCUUUGAGAUGGGAUCUCAUGAGGUUGGGGUGCCAUCCUCCAGGACUUAGUACACCCCCUAAUCAAUGCCUGGUGCUGUGGUCCCGACAGAUGGCAUAUAUAGGGCUGGGGAACGUGGUGUGGACGUAGGAGUGGCCCCAUUUUCUUCAUUCCAGUGACUCACAUAAGGAACUUAAACUGCUGGUCCCUGAAACUCUAGAUGGGCCUAGGGGUCCUGGUUUCCAGGGGGGAUACUUCCAGCAGGGAAAACGGCAAGAACCCCUUUAAGUUAUGGCUACUGUUAGCCUAUUCUGGGUUUCUUGUGUUAAGAGACCAGCAGCCAAAUAAAGGGGUCACCUGGCCAGGGUAGUUGACCAUGAUUAUCAGGAGCAGGUGGGGCUGCUGUUACAUGAGCUUUGGCUCCUAGGUGACGCAGAGGGGUGACCCCUUGGUACUCCUCUGCCCAAUCCUGAUGGCAAACGGAAAGUUCAACAGCCACAGCCUGAGAGCAUGGCCACCAUAGACCCAAACUUCUCCUGGAUGAGGUUCUGAGUCACCUGCCAGGUAAGUUACCCCGACCUGCAGACGUGCUGUUUGGGAGAGAAGGGACCUUAGACUGGAGGAAGGUGAUGAGGAUCAGUUGUGGCUUUGAGUCCAGUUGUAGGGGCAGGUCUGCGGUUUGCCCCACUUGCUGCCUUUUUGUGUAUCCCUGGAAAAGGAGACCAUCCGGAAUCCCGUAGGAGCUUUCCCAGAUGGGGCAAACUCACUCUACAACGGAGGUGAUUGAGCAGCACAAAGGUGGACUACAGUGGACACUGGGCUGAGUUCUUCUGGUUGUCCCUUAGGGUCUGAGCACUCCUCCCUUCAGUUGCUGGGCAUGUUGGCUGUUGAGCCACUGCUGCGUCUUCCAGGAGAAUGGACCCUCGUGGAAGGACGCUGCUGCACCCAAGCUUGGGCCACCUUCUCGAUGUCAGCGUACAUCCCGUGACCAGUUGGUACCGGAGUGCACAGACCCAGCUCCUGCCGAGAUUUGGGAUAUUGCUGAAGACCCAUCUCAGUUUCGGGGUCCUCUGCCCCAUCACAGCUAACUUCUCUCUCUGCCCAAUCUGACUUCUCUCACUUUAUUUAUUUACUGUUGAUAAGAGCACCCCUCAACAAACUUCCAACACACCAAGCUCUAUCUCAGAGUCAGUCUCCCAAGGAAUGCAGGCGUGUCCUUUUCUCUACCAUUCUUUCACCUACCACUUCUCUUUCCCCCCAUUUCCCUUAUGCAUAUGCUGAUCAUAUAUCCCAGUUUUCUGGGGACAGCCCUCUUUUACUCUUGUUAAUCUGGUUACCCACCUGGUCAGUAUCCCCUUUCAUUCUCAAAUGUUUCCUGGUUUAGACUCUAAGUUAUGUGAUCGUCCUACUAAUUCAUCUCUUCUUCAUCACAUACACAUUCUUUAUGCUUAUUACAUUUUACUAGGUGCUGGGAAUACAGAAUUGAAUAAGAGAUUCCAAUCCUCUGAGCCCACGCUCAAAAUUCCUGUUGAAAUUGCCAAAGGAAUAUUAUAAUAAGAAAACCCAUUAUUGCUGGAAACUAGAGAAAGGUGCCGUUCUCAUACAAUAAACUUCAAGGAAUUUCUCUGAGA